rnacentral:lncRNA from 1 species
GCACUUGUCAAUCAUAUGACCAGGUUUCUUGCAAUAUCUACACGCUAAGAUUGUCUUGUUGAGAUCAAAACUGACUCUUUGAUUGAAUUGUUUAGAAUGGGCAGGUGUGGCAGGGAAUUUGUUGGUGAAAUAAGUGUUGAAAGCACUGGAGUCACUACGGAAUUGAGAGGGUGAUGAUGUAACUUGUCUCUGCCUCUCAUCCUGAAGCAGAAUGUUGUACUACAUAAGUGUUGAAAGCACUGAAGUCACUACGGAAUUGAGAUGGUGAUGAUGUAACUUGUCUCUGCCUCUCAUCCUGAAGCAGAAUGUUGUAUGCACUGUCUAGAGAUAGGGGAGGCUGUAGCAUGAGGAUAUUGCCCCUAACUCCCACAUAUGUAUCGUUAAGCCCCAUGAGAAAUUGAUGGAGCUUGUUUUCAUCAUCCUCCUUUUGAAGCUCGAGUCUGGCAGCACAUGUACAAGUGCUACCACGAGAUGCACGCAUAAAACCCAACUCAUCCCACAAUCUUUUCAGCUUGUUGAAGUAAGAUGCUAUAUCUAAGGACCCUUGACUAGUAGAUGCUAACUCCUGCUUAAUUUCAAAUAUUUUGGUACCAUUUACAGUCCCAUGCCUAUUAUUAAGCUGAGUCCAAAUACUUUGAGCAGUGUCAGAAUACUGAACACUCUCAGCUAUCUCUGGCGUAAGAGAAUUAGUGAGCCAAGAGAUAACCAUAUUGUUACACCUAUCCCACUGCCUAGAAUGGGGGGAAUUUUUCUGGAGGUUUAAGAACUGUUCCAUCGACAAAACCUAUCUUAUUCCUAGCAGAUAGUGAGACAAUCAUAUUUCUCCUCCAUCCCCCAAAACCAGUCCCUGAAAAGGGAUUACUAACCAAAGAGACUCCGGGAACAUCAGAAGAUAUGAGAAAUAAAGGACUUGAAGGAUCAAGUACAAAAUUAGUUGAACCAGAAUCAGAAGUAUCACCUACGUUAACCUUUUUUGGUGACUGAGAAUCCUUACCGAGCCUGAAACUUCACGAAUCCAAACCCUAACAGUUCGUGGAUAUCCAAAUCCUUAGGAAUCGACUUACUCUUCCAACGGAUGGAACCGAUGAAGUAGAAACCUCAGAAAAAAUCAAACGAUUGCAGCGGAAAACCCAGCAAUUGAGAGAACCCUAGAUUUUCAGAUACCAGAGAAACUCGGAUGAAAAUUGACGAGGGUAACAUCGCAACAAAGCCAGUGACGAGCAGAAUCGCAAUCGCUGCUCUGAUACCAUGUUAACAUGCCAAAAAUCACAGAUUGAUUGAGAUGAAAUCGAAGAAAAUAACACACAGAGAUAGAGAGAAAGAGAACUGGGAAUCGCUGCUCUGAUACCAUGUUAACAUACCAUGUAUUACAGAUUGAUCAAAGUGAAAUUGAAGAAAUGAUUGAAGAAAUGAAGAACGAGAAAAAGAGAGAAAGAGAACUGAUUGUUUC